rnacentral:rRNA from 1 species
UACGUAGGGUGCAAGCGUUGUCCGGAAUUAUUGGGCGUAAAGAGCUCGUAGGCGGUUUGUCGCGUCUGCUGUGAAAACCCGAGGCUCAACCUCGGGCCUGCAGUGGGUACGGGCAGACUAGAGUGCGGUAGGGGAGAUUGGAAUUCCUGGUGUGGCGGUGGAAUGCGCAGAUAUCAGGAGGAACACCGAUGGCGAAGGCAGAUCUCUGGGCCGACACUGACACUGAGAGACGAAAGGCUAGGGGAGCGAAUGGG